UGUGUUAGUUAUUAAAUGAAGUGUGUGGAGAGGAGGGGGGCGGAUUAAAGACAGCCAAGAUGGCGAAUGUCUUGUUGUUUUGGAAGGGGCAGGGGAAAAAUGGAGGAUAUUGUAAUGUACACAAAGGGAUACAUCGAGCUUGGCCGGGGUUUUAAGAGGAAGAGACCGCCCAGUGUCAGCUCUCCCCGGCCGGGCUGAACCGGCGAAGCACCGGGAGAACAAACUAGGAGUGAGGACGGCGACAAACAAGACAAGGAUAAAAAGAAGAAUGUGGCGAUAUGUGAUCAAACCAGGAGAAAUGACUGUCACACAUGCAGGCAGCACAUGAGAAGGCAUUUGUCAGAAGAAAAAGAGAAGCAGGACAGAUCUUCUCUGGCACACAAUAAGCAACAGGCUGAGCACAGGCCCUCUGACCCAGACUGGCUUUCCAGACGGGGGAAGAUUAUUUCAUUCAACUGGAAAACAACAAGGGGGAGGGGCAACGGGGGAGUUCUUCUUUUUUUUUUUUUUGCAGAUGGAGUGGGCAACUGCCCCCAAAUGCUCCAGCGUGAUGAGGGUGGCUCGGAGUGGAAGGCGGCCAACUCUGCAUGUCACCUCACUGCUGGCCUCCAUCUAUUUUGAGCAGUCUCUAUAAGCGUCGUGGGAGAGGAAGGCGGAGCGAGCGGAAACAGAUUCUCCAGACCUGAAGGAGUCGUGGGAAGGAGGGUCUUGUGGAAGAAAAGCAUAAAUGUGUGAGGACAUUCCUGAGUGAUUAGUCACUGCUGGACAUUCUUCAAGUUAUUUGCUGUCUUCAGGCUGCAGCAGCUCAGUCCUCACCACUUCCUUCUCCCACUCAGACCAACACAAUGAGAAGAAAAGGAGAAGGCUGACAUGAUGUUUGUGGACUGGCUGGCGUGUCCACUUGUGAAGGAGCAUCAUGUCGUGUCCUCUCAGGUUCCGAGUGGAACAUCAAGCAGCUUGAAUGAGAAGAAGCUCUGAGGAAUGUUGCCUUCUCAUCCUGGAGGAGGAGAGCUUAUCUCCUGCUUUGUCUCCGUCACACAUCUCUUUGCUUCUCCUUCACCUUCACCUUCUGCUCUGCUGGCCUUCAGGAGAUGUCCAUGUGACCAAGUAUGAUGAGGACAUCAAUAGUUCAGAAUAAAAGCAUGUAACUAAGACACCGCAUUAUGGAACGUUUAUGAUGAAAACGCAACAACAAAUAAAAUUACAGCCAAUAUUUCAGAAUAAAAGCAUGGAAAUAUGA